GUAGGUGAACCUGCGGAAGGAUCAUUACAGAGUUCAUGCCCUCACGGGUAGAUCUCCCACCCUUGAAUAUUAUACCUUCGUUGCUUUGGCAGGCCGUGGAAACACCAGAGGCUCCGGCUGAUGCGUGCCUGCCAGAGGAAACAAACUCUGUUUUUAGUGAUGUCUGAGUGAAAAUAUAAAUUAUUUAAAACUUUCAACAACGGAUCUCUUGGUUCCG
rnacentral:misc_RNA from 1 species